rnacentral:misc_RNA from 1 species
CAAGGUCUUGUCCAAAUUUGGAGGGUGUGCUUAAAAUUCUCAGGGUUUAGGAGAAGCUAGAGAUUGAGUUCUUAGUUUCGAUUCUUAUAAUGGGUGUUUCUGCGCAUCCUCUCCUUGUUUCUUUGAAGGGUGUGGUCCAAGACAGUGAAGAAAUGCACCCAAUCUUGGAAUCCCAAACCAGGAGAAGGUGGCAAGUAAUGAUGAGGAAACAAAGAGUUUCUAGGAAAAAGAGAUCGAGAAAGGUGUCAAUCAACAGCGGGACACGUCAAGAGAGAUCUAGAUCAAAAGCCGCAAAUGGUAUCCGUGGAAGAGUUAGGACCCUGAAGAAGCUAAUCCCUAACAGCGAAUCUGCGGGACUGGAAGGGCUUUUCAGAGAGACGGCUGAUUAUAUUUUGUCUUUACAAAUGAGAGUUAAAGUCAUGCAGAUAAUGGUUAAGGUAUUAACAGGUUCCGAUGAGUGAACCAAUUCGUUUGUAAAGCCUAUAAUUCUCUUAUUCCUUAUUUUCUUUCUUUUAAAAAAUGUCUUCUUUAUUUGUUAUUUGUGUUAUUCACAGCCAUAUAGGAGCUUGUUUUGUACGUCCAGAUAUGUGUUCACGAUUGUGUAGAUUUAACUACAGCUUUAUCAUUUAUUUUGUGGACAAAUGAAUUCUUCAAUUCACUAUUAUUUAAUUUCCGC